rnacentral:rRNA from 1 species
AGAGUUUGAUCAUGGCUCAGAGUGAACGCUGGCGGCAGGCCUAAUACAUGCAAGUCGAACGGCAGUACAGCAGAGCUUGCUCUGUGGGUGGCGAGUGGCGGACGGGUGAGGAAUACAUGGGAAUCUGCCCAGUCGUGGGGAUAACGUAGGGAAACUUACGCUAAUACCGCAUGCGCCCUUCGGGGGAAAGCCGGGGACCUUCGGGCCUGGCGCGAUUGGAUGAGCCCAUGUCGGAUUAGCUAGUUGGCGGGGUAAUGGCCCACCAAGGCGACGAUCCGUAGCUGGUCUGAGAGGAUGAUCAGCCACACUGGAACUGAGACACGGUCCAGACUCCUACGGGAGGCAGCAGUAGGGAAUAUUGGACAAUGGGCGCAAGCCUGAUCCAGCCAUGCCGCGUGAGUGAAGAAGGCCCUCGGGUUGUAAAGCUCUUUUGUCCGGAAAGAAAAGCGCCGGGUUAAUACCCUGGUGUCCUGACGGUACCGGAAGAAUAAGCACCGACUAACUUCGUG